CCCGAUCACCUUCAUCAGCGGAGCAGUCAUAGGAGUGGGCCGUCAGUCCAACGUCGCCUGAGUGUUGUGCCAGUCACGGUUGCCCGAGUUCCCAGACUCACCUCUCUGCUGUUUGCAAAUCUCCUCUGGACUCCACGGCUGGCGGCCGUUCCACUCCUCCGUGUCUCCGUUUCACCCGAGCCUACCUGUCCGCUCCCCGCCGCAUUCCUCCGCUGUCCCUGGAUCCAUUAGGGACCGAGACCCCGGACCAACCCAGUUUCCCUCCACAACUCUGCUCCAACAACCACAAUGAACUGUUGCUACCAUUACUGUUUAUUCCCCUGGACCAGACCACCCCGACUCUCUCUCUUUGAUUAUUGUGUGAUCUUUAAUAAAUCAUUUAAAACUGA